AGCAGCCGCGGUAAUUCCAGCUCCAAUAGCGUAUAUUAAAGUUGUUGCAGUUAAAAAGCUCGUAGUUGAAUUUCGGGAUUAAUAUGUUGGUCGUGCCUUGGUACGUACUGGCAUUAUUGAUUCCUACCUUCUGAAGAACCUCGAUGUCAUUAAUUUGGUGUCUUGGGGAAUCAGGACCGUUACUUUGAAAAAUUAGAGUGUUUAAAGCAGGCUCGCGCUUGAAUACAUUAGCAUGGAAUAAUGAAAUAGGACGUUUGAUUCUAUUUUGUUGGUUUCUAGGAUCGACGUAAUGAUUAAUAGGGAUAGUUGGGGGCAUUAGUAUUCAAUUGUCAGAGGUGAAAUUCUUGGAUUUAUUGAGGACUGACUACUGCGAAAGCAUUUGCCAAGGAUGUUUUCAUUAAUCAAGAACGAAAGUUAGGGGGUCGAAGACGAUCAGAUACCGUCGUAGUCUUAACCAUAAACUAUGCCGACUAGGGAUCGGAUGAUGUUAAUUUUAAUGACUCAUUCGGCGCCUACC
rnacentral:misc_RNA from 1 species